GUCUUGUCAAUGAUGUUUUCAAUACAAAUGUCUGAACAUAUGAAUUUUCAGUGAUUCUUACUUAUUGACUGAGACAAGAC